rnacentral:lncRNA from 1 species
AUAGAUUUUUAAGCUCUUCGUUUUAUAGUUUUUGUUGUUGUGAGCCACUUUGAGUCCCCUAUGAGGAGAAAGGUGGCAUAUAAAUAAUAUAUAUAAAUACAGUGGACCCUUGACUUACAGACGGCUUGACUUACAGACUUUUUGAGUUACAGACUUCUCUGGCCGCAAAAUUUAGGUUUGACUUGCAGACUGAGAUUUGACUUACAGACCAGAAAAAAACCAAAAUGGAACAAAAACGGCCUGUUACGGGAUUAAUCGGUUUUCAAUGCACUGUAGGUCAAUGGAGACUUGACUUACAGACUUUUUGACUUGAGAACCGCCUUCCAAUACGGAUUAAGUUCUCAAGUCAAGACCCCACUGUACAUGAAAUAAAUAAAGGCAUUCGUCGCUCUUGGUAAAUGUGACCUUCCUAGAGCCAUCGGCAGGUGGGUGCUGUGGGUGAGAGGAAGCCUUUGCGUUGGCCUUAAAGACAUGACACACACCCCCGCGCCCCCACUCCUCAUUUCCCCGGUCUUUGCAAAGCAAAAGCUUUUCUGGGCGCUGCGCCUUGGGGACCCUUUCUGACGUGCAGCGGCCGGGUUGGGGGUGAGGGUCUGAACCGGGCAAACGAGGGCGCUCUGAUGACCCCUCCCUCCCUCGCCGCCCCCCUUCCACCCGCUGCCCUUGUCCCCAAAUGUCCUUUCCUCCCGCUUGAUCCUCAUCGCUGACGUGUGUGUGUGUGUGGGGGGGGAAUGGAGCUAACCGCCCAUGUGAUGGACCCCCCCUCUCUGAGAAGCGGGGGCGCGGCCUAUCUGAGGUGGGCGGAGCUUUUCGCCAUCCUUCAAGAGGGAGAGAAGCGGCGGUCUCUCUGCUCGGGGCCUCGGGUACACGGACCGGGCAGCGCAGCAGCACCGCCGAGGCGCCAAGGGGGCUCUCGCUGUCCGUCGCGCCGUUGGUCUCCUGUCCGACCGCCCUUCCCCGUAGCAGGGAGAAGAAGGGCUGUAUUUGCACCCCCUCCCCCUCACAGUGUCCUCAGCAGGGAAGAGUUCCACCCCCACCCUCCGUCCUUCUUAACUCCGGGACCCCAAGUCCCUUCCUGGUCUGCCUCUGCCAAUGGCUGUUGGCCUUCGGGGAAGACACCAAGGAGGCCCGGUUUUUCUAGAGAUGCCGCGCACCGGCUCCUCUUUUGGACUCCGCACCCCCCACCCCACCUCAACCCGUUUUUCUCAGGCCAGGAAUUGGUGUUACGUUGCCUUCUCUCCAGACUUUCUAUUUAUAGGGUGGGCAUGUGA